rnacentral:rRNA from 1 species
GCUGGGAGGGAUGUAUUUAUUAGAUUCAAAAGCCAAUGCCAUUCUUUUCGGAGAAUGGAAAUUUAACAUAUGGUGAAUCAUGAUAACUUUACGAAUCGCAUGGUCUUUUGUGCCGGCGAUAGUUCAUUCAAAUAUCUGCCCUAUCAACUUUCGAUGGUAGUAUAGAGGACUACCAUGGUGUUAACGGGUAACGGAGAAUCAGGGUUUGAUUCCGGAGAAGGAGCCUGAGAAACGGCUACUACUUCCAAGGAAGGCAGCAGGCGCGCAAAUUACCCAAUCCCGACACGGGGAGGUAGUGACAAAAAAUAACAAUACCGGUCUUAUUUAAGUCUGGUAAUUGGAAUGAGUACAAUCUAAAUCCUUUAACGAGUAUCAAUUGGAGGGCAAGUCUGGUGCCAGCAGCCGCGGUAAUUCCAGCUCCAAUAGCAUAUAUUAAAGUUGUUGCAGUUAAAAAGCUCGUAGUUGGAUUUUGAAGUUUACAUAUUAUGACCCACUUUGUAUUAGGUGUGUUUUGUUGUAAUAUGUACUUCUCCUUACUAGACUUUCACUAUUACACUUUAUUGAGUGAUAGUUUCAUUUUAAUUUAUU